AGCGAACGCUGGCGGCAGGCUUAACACAUGCAAGUCGAACGAACUCUUCGGAGUUAGUGGCGGACGGGUGAGUAACACGUGGGAACGUGCCUUUUGGUACGGAAUAACUCAGGGUAACUUGUGUUAAUACCGAAUGUGCCCUUAGGGGGAAAGAUGUAUUGCCAUUAGAGCGGCCCGCGUCUGAUUAGCUAGUUGGUGAGGGAACGGCUCGCUAAGGCGACGAUCAGUAGCUGGUCGGAGAGGAUGACCAGCCACACUGGGACUGCGGCACGGCCCAGACUCCGACGGGAGGCGGCAGUGGGGAGUCUUACGCGAUGGGCGAAAGCCUAACGCAGCCGUGCCGCGGAAAUGAGGAAGGGCUUAGGAUUGUAAAAUUCUUUCUCCCGAGACGAUAGUGACGGUACCCGGAGAAGAAGCCCCGGCUAACUACGUG
rnacentral:rRNA from 1 species